rnacentral:tRNA from 1 species
CGGGCUGUAGCGCAGUUUGGUAGCGCGCUUCGUUCGGGACGAAGAGGUCGUGGGUUCGAAUCCCGCCAGCCCGA